GGGGGGAGUGGAGACCUGGCCACAAAUCUUCUUAGGGGAGGCAGCAGUGGGUAAUUAUUGGACAAUUGGCGCAAGCCUGAUCCAGCCCAUGCCGCGUGAAUGAUGAUGCCUAGGUGUAAGUCUUCACCGAUGAGAUAUGACGUAGUCGAGAGAGCCCCGCUAAGUUCGUGCAGCAGCGCGGUAUACGAAUGGGGCUAGCGUGAUCGUAUCACUGGGCGUAAAGCGUGUGUAGGCGGUUUACCAAGUCAUGAGUGAAAUCCCAGGGCUCAACCCUGGGAAUUGCUCGUGGAAACUGCUAAGCUAGAGUACUGGAGAGGCUAGCAGAAGUUCCGAGUGUAGAGGUGAAAUUCGCAGAUACUCCGGAGGAAUACCAGUGGCGCAAGCGGCUAACUGGACAGUAACUGACGCUGAGACACGAAAGCGUGGGGAUCAAACAGGAUUAGAUACCCUGGUAGUCCACGCCGUAAACGAUGUAUGUUAGUUGUCGGGAGGUUUACCUUUCGGCGACAAAGCUAACGCAUUAAACAUACCGCCUGGGGAGUACGGUCGCAAGAUUAAAACUCAAAGGAAUUGACGGGGACCCGCACAAGCGGUGGAGCAUGUUGUUUAAUUCGAAGCAACGCGAAGAACCUUACCUACCCUUGACAUACCUAGUAUGGAUUUUAGAGAUAAUUUCCUUCAGUUCGGCUGGCUAGAGUACAGGUGCUGCAUGGCUGUCGUCAGCUCGUGUCGUGAGAUGUUGGGUUAAGUCCCGCAACGAGCGCAACCCCUAUUGUUAGUUGCUACCAGGUAAUGCUGAGCACUCUAGCGAGACUGCCGGUGACAAGCCGGAGGAAGGCGGGGAUGACGUCAAGUCAUCAUGGCCCUUACGGGUAGGGCUACAAACGUGCUACAAUGGUAGUGACAGUGAGUCGCGAGGCUGCAAGGCCAAGCCAAUCUCAAAAAGCUAUCUCAGUUCGGAUUGUCCUCUGCAACUCGAGGGCAUGAAGUUGGAAUCGCUAGUAAUCGUGGAUCAGCAUGCCACGGUGAAUACGUUCCCGGGUCUUGUACACACCGCCCGUCACGUCAUGGGAGUCGAUUUUACCUGAAGGCAGUGCGCCAACUUAGGAGGCAGCUGACCACGGUAGAAUCGUAAGGUC
rnacentral:rRNA from 1 species